GGGCCAGUAGCUCUAAUUGGUAGAGUGGCGGAUUCCAACUCCGUAGGUUGCAGGUUCGAGCCCUGCCUGGCCCG
rnacentral:tRNA from 1 species